rnacentral:rRNA from 1 species
GAUGAACGCUGGCGGCGUGCCUAAUACAUGCAAGUCGAGCGAACAGAUGAGGAGCUUGCUCCUCUGACGUUAGCGGCGGACGGGUGAGUAACACGUGGAUAACCUACCUAUAAGACUGGGAUAACUUCGGGAAACCGGAGCUAAUACCGGAUAAUAUAUUGAACCGCAUGGUUCAAUAGUGAAAGACGGUUUUGCUGUCACUUAUAGAUGGAUCCGCGCCGCAUUAGCUAGUUGGUAAGGUAACGGCUUACCAAGGCAACGAUGCGUAGCCGACCUGAGAGGGGUGGAGGGCCACAUGGGAACAGAACACGGGGCGAACCCCCAGAGGGAGGAGCAAGAAGGAAAUCUCGAGAAAGGGGGAAAGCCCAGACGGAGAAACACCGGGGGAUUGAGAAGGAUUUACAGAUAGAAAACCAUUUUUUUGGGGAAAAAAAAAGUGUAUAGAAAACUAGGCGCGUCUUAAAGAACCCAAAUAAAAAGAACGGGGAUAACUACAUA